rnacentral:lncRNA from 1 species
AGUGAGUCCUGCAAAGGAGUUUUCAUAUAUAGACUGUAUACUGUUAAACCCAAAAUUGAUUCUUUCCACAUGUUUAGAAAUCCUUGCCGGUACGGCUGCUAAGGAUCGAAACGUGCAGUGGACUUCGGUGGGGACGUAGCAGGCACAAGGGUGGGGGCAGGCCAGGGCGCCCGGCGGGAGCCCCAGAGCCAGGAUCAGCACCACGGAGAGUGCCCCCACGGCGGACCUCUCCCGCAUCUCGUAGGCUCGCCUUGCCUCGCUCCUCCUGCGGGCCAGCGCGGCGCUUUCAGCGGGCGCCGCCCGCCGCUCCCAUGCCCCCGGGGCGCUGCGGACGGGCGGCGGCGCGGAGCGGAGCGGCGGGCCGGCACUUAGCGGGCUGCCCGCGAGCCCUUCGGCAGCGGCUCGCCGUGGCACAUCGCAGCCCGCGGCGGCACGCCUCGACGCCGCCUUAGGGCUCGUCAUCGCCCGUCAUUUUGCAGUAGCCGCCGCCGUUCCUGGGGUCCCCCGAUGAGCAUAAGCCGGGCGAGGCGGCGCUGGGGAAUAGUGCCGCUGCUCCCUCCUUUGCCGUGCCGCAAGUCGCCCGUCCCCCGCGAGGCGCGUGGUUCUCAGCGCCGACGGGAGCCGAGCCCGUCCCUCCGGGGGAGAGUGACGGCGGCUCCCCGCCGCUGUCCUGGCGGCCCGGGCGCGCAGCUCCCGCGGCGGCAGACUCCCUCCGCCCGCGGCCGCAUGGGGACGAGGGGCGCGGGGUGCCCGGCGCCGCGCUCCGUCACUCCGGCUGCCUCCUCGCGCCGGGCGCUGUGCAGGGCAGGGCGCGGCGGAGCGGCUCCUCUUGCGGGGUGGGCGGCCCCUCGGUGGGGGAGUGCGGGCGGGACCGCGCCGGGGGGCGGGGGGCGGAGGGGCAGCCAGAGCCGCGGGGGGGGCGCGGGAGCUGCGGAGAAGGGGGAGCGCCUCGGCCGGGGUGGGAGAUGGAGCUCGAGGAGGUUUGCGGUAUGGAGCGGGGGGCGGGGGGCUCGGAGCGCCCGUACAAGCAAGCACAUAUGUUGACUAAGUUUGCCAAGCUCCCUGUCCCGUACGUGAUUCUGAAACAGGACGUGCCAGGCUGGACUUCUUGUUCCUCUCGUGGUAUACAAGCAGCCCCCCACCGUCGUCUUCACGGUGCUCUGUCGCAACACUGCCGCCGAGACCUGCAGUCGGUCUGUAUGGGAGAAUUUCACCUCCUACGUCGUGCUUGAGGAAAGACACAGUUACAUGUGGGCAAACAGAAAAAUCUCAAAACUGGAAUGGGGAGGCAAUGAGAGUAGCGCAGGAAAAGGCAGCACCACUAACAAAAUGAACCAAAUGAACAAAGUGAAUGUAGGUGCAGUUGUAAAGUGCUUUUUACCUGUAAAAUCCACCAGAGAAGUGGACUUUGGUUUUGCCAGGGAAAAAAUACAAUCACUAAAUCAUGGACUCUUAUUUUCAUGAACUCCACUGGCAACCCUGCUCAUGGCAGAGGGCUGGAGCUCAAUGAGCUUUAAGAUCCCUUCCAACCUAAGCCAUGCCAUGACUCUAUGAUUCUAAGAUUUUGUGAUUCUGAUUUCAUAAGAUCAUAGAAUUGUUAUGAUUCGAAAAGACCAACAAGAUCAUCUUGUCCAAUCAUCAGCCCACCCCCACCAUGCCCACUGUGUCCCUCAGUGCCACAUCCACAUGUUUCUUGAACACCUCCGGGGAUGGUGACUCCACCACCUCCCUGGGCAGCCUGUGCCACUGCCUCACUGCUCUUACUGAGAAGAAUUUUUUCCUAACAUCCAACCUGAUUGAUUUCCUCAAUUUCCA